rnacentral:rRNA from 1 species
UACGUAGGGGGCAAGCGUUGUCCGGAUUUAUUGGGCGUAAAGAGCGUGUAGGCGGCUGGGUAGGUCUGCUGUGAAAACUCGAGGCUCAACCUCGAGACGUCGGCGGAAACCCUCCAGCUAGAGUCCGGAAGAGGAGAGUGGAAUUCCUGGUGUAGCGGUGAAAUGCGCAGAUAUCAGGAAGAACACCGGUGGCGAAAGCGGCUCUCUGGGACGGUACUGACGCUGAGACGCGAAAGCGUGGGGAGCGAACAGG